AUUGACCGCUGGCGGCAUGCCUUACACAUGCAAGUCGAACGGUAACGGGUCCUUCGGGAUGCCGACGAGUGGCGAACGGGUGAGUAAUAUAUCGGAACGUGCCCAGUAGUGGGGGAUAACUGCUCGAAAGAGCAGCUAAUACCGCAUACGACCUGAGGGUGAAAGGGGGGGAUCGCAAGACCUCUCGCUAUUGGAGCGGCCGAUAUCAGAUUAGCUAGUUGGUGGGGUAAAGGCCUACCAAGGCAACGAUCCGUAGCUGGUCUGAGAGGAUGAUCAGCCACACUGGAACUGAGACACGGUCCAGACUCCUACGGGAGGCAGCAGUGGGGAAUAUUGGACAAUGGGCGCAAGCCUGAUCCAGCCAUACCGCGUGGGUGAAGAAGGCCUUCGGGUUGUAAACUGCUUUUGUACGGAACGAAAAGCCCCGGGUUAAUACCCUGGGGUCAUGACGGUACCGUAAGAAUAAGCACCGGCUAACUACGUGCCAGCCGCCGCCGUAA
rnacentral:rRNA from 1 species